AGUGAACGCUGGCGGUAGGCCUAACACAUGCAAGUCGAACGGCAGCACAGUAAGAGCUUGCUCUUACGGGUGGCGAGUGGCGGACGGGUGAGGAAUACAUCGGAAUCUACUUUUUCGUGGGGGAUAACGUAGGGAAACUUACGCUAAUACCGCAUACGACCUACGGGUGAAAGCAGGGGAUCUUCGGACCUUGCGCGAUUGAAUGAGCCGAUGUCGGAUUAGGUAGUUGGCGGGGUAAAGGCCUACCAAGGCGACGAUCCGUAGCUGGUCUGAGAGGAUGAUCAGCCACACUGGAACUGAGACACGGUCCAGACUCCUACGGGAGGCAGCAGUGGGGAAUAUUGGACAAUGGGCGCAAGCCUGAUCCAGCCAUACCGCGUGGGUGAAGAAGGCCUUCGGGUUGUAAAGCCCUUUUGUUGGGAAAGAAAAGCAGCAGGUUAAUACCCCGCGGUUCUGACGGUACCCAAAGAAUAAGCACCGGCUAACUUCGUG
rnacentral:rRNA from 1 species